AUUGAUUUUGGUCGCCAACGAGUGGCGGACGGGUGAGUAACACGUAGGUAACCUGCCCAGAAGCGGGGGACAACAUUUGGAAACAGAUGCUAAUACCGCAUAACAACGUUGUUCGCAUGAACAACGCUUAAAAGAUGGCUUCUCGCUAUCACUUCUGGAUGGACCUGCGGUGCAUUAGCUUGUUGGUGGGGUAACGGCCUACCAAGGCGAUGAUGCAUAGCCGAGUUGAGAGACUGAUCGGCCACAAUGGGACUGAGACACGGCCCAUACUCCUACGGGAGGCAGCAGUAGGGAAUCUUCCACAAUGGGCGCAAGCCUGAUGGAGCAACACCGCGUGAGUGAAGAAGGGUUUCGGCUCGUAAAGCUCUGUUGUUAAAGAAGAACACGUAUGAGAGUAACUGUUCAUACGUUGACGGUAUUUAACCAGAAAGUCACGGCUAACUACGUGCCAGCAGCCGCGGUAAUACGUAGGUGGCAAGCGUUAUCCGGAUUUAUUGGGCGUAAAGAGAGUGCAGGCGGUUUUCUAAGUCUGAUGUGAAAGCCUUCGGCUUAACCGGAGAAGUGCAUCGGAAACUGGAUAACUUGAGUGCAGAAGAGGGUAGUGGAACUCCAUGUGUAGCGGUGGAAUGCGUAGAUAUAUGGAAGAACACCAGUGGCGAAGGCGGCUACCUGGUCUGCAACUGACGCUGAGACUCGAAAGCAUGGGUAGCGAACAGGAUUAGAUACCCUGGUAGUCCAUGCCGUAAACGAUGAGUGCUAGGUGUUGGAGGGUUUCCGCCCUUCAGUGCCGGAGCUAACGCAUUAAGCACUCCGCCUGGGGAGUACGACCGCAAGGUUGAAACUCA
rnacentral:rRNA from 1 species